UGUCCUACGGGGGGCAGCAGUGGGGAAUAUUGCACAAUGGGGGGAACCCUGAUGCAGCGACGCCGCGUGAGUGAAGAAGUAUUUCGGUAUGUAAAGCUCUAUCAGCAGGGAAGAAGAUGACGGUACCUGACUAAGAAGCCCCGGCUAACUACGUGCCAGCAGCCGCGGUAAUACGUAGGUGGCAAGCGUUGUCCGGAAUUACUGGGUGUAAAGGGAGCGCAGGCGGGAAGCCAAGUCAGCUGUGAAAACU
rnacentral:rRNA from 1 species